AAUGGGCGAAAGCCUGAUCCAGCAAUGCCGCGUGCAGGAUGAAGGCCUUCGGGUUGUAAACUGCUUUUGUACGGAACGAAAAGCUUCGGGUUAAUACCCUGGAGCCAUGACGGUACCGUAAGAAUAAGCACCGGCUAACUACGUGCCAGCAGCCGCGGUAAUACGUAGGGUGCAAGCGUUAAUCGGAAUUACUGGGCGUAAAGCGUGCGCAGGCGGUUUUGUAAGACAGAGGUGAAAUCCCCGGGCUCAACCUGGGAACUGCCUUUGUGACUGCAAGGCUAGAGUACGGCAGAGGGGGAUGGAAUUCCGCGUGUAGCAGUGAAAUGCGUAGAUAUGCGGAGGAACACCGAUGGCGAAGGCAAUCCCCUGGGCCUGUACUGACGCUCAUGCACGAAAGCGUGGGGAGCAAACAGGAUUAGAUACCCUGGUAGUCCACGCCCUAAACGAUGUCAACUGGUUGUUGGGUCUUAACUGACUCAGUAACGAAGCUAACGCGUGAAGUUGACCGCCUGGGGAGUACGGCC
rnacentral:rRNA from 1 species